GACGAACGCUGGCGGCGUGCCUAAUACAUGCAAGUCGAACGCAGUGGGGACGGGUGAGUAACACGUGGGUAACCUCCCAUCAGAGGGGAUAACACUUGGAAACAGGUGCUAAACCGAUACUGAUGGAUGGACCCGCGGUGCAUUGGCUAGUUGGUGAGGUAACGGCUCACCAAGGCCACGAUGCAUAGCCGGCCGGAGAGGGUGACCGGCCACACUGGAACUGAGACACGGCCCAGACUCCUACGGGAGGCAGCAGUGGGGAAUCUUGGGCAAUGGGCGAAAGUCUGACGGAGCAACGCCGCGUGAGUGAAGAAGGUUUUCGGAUCGUAAAGCUCUUUUGUUAGAGAAGCGGUAUCUACCCAGAAAGCCCCGGCUAACUACGUGCCAGCCGCCGCGGUAAUAC
rnacentral:rRNA from 1 species